UUUGCGCAAAUCGUUUCUGAUAUGUCUCAAUAUUUAUUGUUUGUAAUCUGCCAUGCGUGAAUGAUUUGCAAAGCUGUUGGUUUGAAAUUACAGAUGAGAUUCCACUCUUGCCAUGAGUAUCAAAUUUAUGGUAAAAACAUAUUUAAUAAUUGUGAAAUCUAUCUCUGAAAAAAGGUUGCCUUUUUGGGGGACGCACUGUGUAUUCCACCACAAAACUAAACUCCCAACAUGUAGCUGCAUGUAAUUAUCAAAUUUUUUCUUGGCAGUUUGUCUCAUGUUUAAUUCCAUGGCUUAUUUAUGGUCUCUGGGACCUUGAUGUUACUAAUGUGACGGAGGAAGUCAUGGCUGUCUUAGUCUUGCACAAAAUAUUGUGAGGUCAUUUCUUAUCUAUUUUACUGGUUAUCUUGGCAUGAACAUGGAUCCCACUGGCUUACUGUAGGUGUGUGAGAUAAUGUAAGUUACAUUACAGUACAGUAUUAAAGGCUUUAAUAAAGAAUGAUUAAAAGUGAGAUAUGAAUGUAUACUUAAUGACUGCUCUAAAAGGGAAACAUGAAAAGCAGUCUGAGGGUGUGUUCAAUGGCGAUUUUCAAAUUUAAACAGCAACAUGAAUUGUGAUUGAAAACGCAAUUACAAAACGCAGAUAUAGGGAGAAACAAAACUGUGUUUAAUGUCCCUCAUUUCCUGUCAUAUAGGUAAUCGUCUUUCAUAUCAUGACUCGAAGGAAAAUUCAAAUGCUGAAAAAGAUACGUUUGGAAACGCGGGAGCUCUGAUUUUACGACCUUGAGCACCAUGAAUGUGGACUUUUCUUGUGAUGGGUUAAACAGUGCAGCUUACUGCGCUAAUCGCCAUCUGAAAGACAGUAACCUCCAUGACCGCGAAUGGGGGAAAUUAAAUUUAAAGACAAUCGACGUAUAACCAGCUUUAUCAUUUUCGACACUCAAUGGUACACCCUUAAUCUGGUUUGCGUUCUUUGUUGUGUAAUUAUGUUUUGGAAAAAUAAAUUUGGAAGUAGACAUAUUGAACACACCCAAAUAUUUGAAGGAUCCUCAAUGGUAAUCUGUAGUUCGAAGAUAAAAAAAUCAUAUUCUACUAUUAAAAAGGUGACAGAAAAGUCUUUUGAGACAGGUUGCCCUUUAUAUACAUACAUGUAGUUGGUUGCUAGUUUGAAGCUGUACUAGACAGGGUACUAACAAACCACAGGACUAAUAGCAGAUAGAUUUACAUGUAGGUUGGUGUAUCAGUGUAAAAUGUACAUCAGGGUUGCCUUGCUCCCUGGUGCCCCUUUCAAGGGGUGCAAAACAAAAAUGUUGCGAGGGGGCAAGAUUUCAUUAAUUACCCUGAGGAUUUUUGUAGAUAUGCCAUUGGCUAUUAAUCAAAGAACUGUCUUCCUGAUUCCAAAAAAUUCUCAAAAACCUGGAAAAGGUGUUGGUUUGGAUAAAUAUGUGUUCUUACGCAUAAAAAUAGGGCUGACAACAACUGAUAAAUUGUGGAAUUUUUGUUAAAAUAUUGAUUAUUUUUCCCAUUAAUUGUAUUUAUUUAUCUUAUAUUUGACAUGUGUUGUAUUCAUUCAUUGCCUGUCUAUCAGUAUACUGUUAUUAGACAUGAUAUUGAUUUUGCAAAUUUUUUGGAUAAAUUUGGAUGCCAUCUUUGUUUACCUACAAUCUUAUAAACAAAAUACUUAUUAUAGGCCUAUACAUGACCAUUUUUUACAAGCGAGGUUUUAUAUCAUUGUUGAAUUCAAUACUUUUUGCCUGCAUUCUUUAUUUUGAUGAAAGUUAAAGCUGUUUUAUCCUGAAAUUGAGAAGAUCAUAAUUUUUAUAGGCAUAUUGGGAUAAUUUUGAUAUGUUUCAUUGUCUUAUGGAGCCAGGCAUUAUAUAUAAUUUUGCAUUCAGAUUAUACAUAUACACGUGAUGUAGAAGUCUGUUGAAGCAUAUUUUUCUCCUUCAAAGUUCAAUUUUCAGACUUGUAUGCCAGUAUGUACUAUACAAAUAAUUUGACCUCAAAACAAAAAAAAAACAAAAUAAGUCAUAAUGCACUUGGUAUUUUUUUUUCAGAACCAAAUGUUCUAUAGUUAAUACUUGAAUUGCUUUAAAACAAAAUAUGUAGCAAAUUCUAAAAUCAGUAAUCAAUGAUACUUUACAAAAGAACAGGUGAUAUUGGAAAGUUUAUAGGAUAUAAAAUGUGAUGAUAAUCUACUUUUUGUUAUUAGCAUUUGGCAAUAUCUAAUUGCAAUAGCAUACUAUUGGACAAUAUGUUUUAACCUCGAUAUUCCACUGUUGCCAAAAAUGUAAUAGCCCAAAUAGCUUAUAUAAUCCAUCUAAAUGUAUGUAAUUUUAAGCCAAAGGUGGUUGUUUUUCUAAACGUUUGGGUUUCUUUCAGCAUGCACAAAUGAUCUCUUUUAUUGAGGCAAUUUUAAUAGGGAGGAUAAUUGGAACUUACUUGUUGUAGCAUAGAUGAAGUAUAAUGUCAAGCAAAUGUACAUUAUAUUU